CUGGUUGAUCCUGCCAGUAGUCAUAUGCUUGUAUAACCAAUUAAGCCAUGCAUUUCUCAGUGCACGUCUUUAUACGGUGAAACCGCGAAUGGCUCAUGAAAUCAGCUAUGCUUUAUUGGAUCAUACCCGUUAAAUGGAUAACUGUAAUAAAUCUAGAGCUAAUACAUGCCAUUAUGCCCUGACCCUCACGGGAAUGGGUGCACUUAUUAGAUCAGAAGCCAACCGUUUGUGGCCACAAGGUUGUGCAUGGUGACCUUCUGGUGAUUCUGGAUCAUUUUUACGGAUCGCAGUCGGCCUUGAGUCGGCCCUAUCAACUUUCUAUGGUAGGUGACCUGCCUACUAUGGUGAUUACGGGUAAUGGGGAAUCAGAGUUCGAUUCCGGAGAGAGAGCAUGAGAAACGGCUACCACUUCCAAGGGAGGCAGCAGGCGCGCACAUUACCAACUCCCAGUACGGGGAGGUGGUGACGAAAAAUUCCGAUGCGGGACUCUUAACGAGGUUCCGUAAUCGGAGUGAGUGAACUAUAAAUCAUUUCACGAGGAUUAGUUGGAGGGCAAGUCUGGUGCCAGCAGCCGCGGUAACUCCAGCUCCAAUAGCGUAUAUUAAAGUUGCUGCAGUUAAAAAGCUCGUAGUUGGAUCUCGGUAUCACUGUUGCCCGUCAGUCCUUAGGCGGCAGACUGCGUGUGCAUGGGUUUGACUCGUGUUGCCGUGGUUGGUCGUCCGAGUUGGCGGCGUGACGGUGUGGCCUUUCAGCCAUGUCUGUGGUGAAAUACCCGCAGGUGUAGGCGAGUGUCAGGCGGUGCCUUGCGAAAGUAGGGCUCGUCGGCUCGUCUGCAUGCCUUUGGAUGCCCUUCAAAAGGUGUCUGUGGCGGAUGGCACGUUUACUUUGAACAAAUUUGAGUGCUCAAACCAGGCCGAUGUUGCCUGAAAAGUUUUGCAUGGAAUAAUGGAAUAGGACUUCGGUUCUAUUUCGUUGGUUUUCGGAUCCGAAGUAAUGAUCAAAAGAGACAGGCGGGGG
rnacentral:rRNA from 1 species